rnacentral:rRNA from 1 species
GACGAACGCUGGCGGCGUGCUUAACACAUGCAAGUCGAGCGGCGCGGCGAACGGGUGAGUAACGCGUGAGUAACUGCCCCCCUCUCUGGGAUAACAGUUGGAAACGGCUGCUAAUACCGGAUAGUGGGGUAUGACUCGCGUCCUAUCCGCUUGUUGGUGGGGUAGUGGCCGACCAGGGCGACGCCGGGUAGCCGGCCUGAGAGGGCGACCGGCCACAUUGGGCUGAGAUACGGCCCAAACUCCUACGGGAGGCAGCAGUGGGGAAUAUUGCACAGUGGGGGGAACCCUGAUGCAGCAACGCCGCGUGCGGGAUGACGGCCUUCGGGUUGGAAACCGCUCUCAGCCAUGACGCGGUAUUGGCAGAGGAUGCACCGGCUAACUACGGGCCAGCAGCCGCGGUAAUUC